rnacentral:rRNA from 1 species
GCAUAUCAAUAAGCGGAGGAAAAGAAACUAACAAGGAUUCCCCUAGUAAUGGCGAAUGAAGAGGGAAAAGCUCAAAUUUUAAAUCUACCUGGUUCCCAGGUCGAGUUGUAAUUUGAAGAAGCGAUAUCGGUGUGGAGGUCUGGUUCAAGUUCUUUGGAACAAGACAUCAUGGAGGGUGAGAAUCCCGUGCAUGAUCAGACCAAGAUACUUAAUAUUCGCUUUCUAAGAGUCGAGUUGUUUGGGAAUGCAGCUCAAAAUGGGUGGUAGACUUCACCUAAGGCUAAAUAUCAGCGAGAGACCGAUAGCGAACAAGUACUGUGAAGGAAAGAUGAAAAGAACUUUGAAAAGAGAGUUAAAUAGUACGUGAAAUUGUUGAAAGGGAAACGAUUGAAGUCAGUCAUGCUAGUGAGAAUUCAGUUUGGUGGGUUUUGGGUCAGGAGUUGAGGCAGGGUCAAACCGUUUCUCUUUUGAACUUGGAAUUUGUCAGAUGCACUUUUUCUUUGGCAGGUUAGCGUCGAUUUCGGAGGUUGUAAAAUACUUGGGGAAAAGUAGCUCUGCUUCGGGAGAGUGUUAUAGACCUUGGGUGAUGCGGCCUGCGGGAUCGAGGAUUGCAGCAAAUGCUUUUGGCUUGUCGCCUGAUCUCUGGACGUCAUCUGGCUUGUAUCAACAUUCUUGGUACCGGUGAGUAAUGGUGCUCAUAGGUUAGAGCGAUCAAAAAUUUGCUAAGGAUGCUGACGUAAUGGCUUUAAACGAC